GCUAUGUUUGUUAGAAUCGAUCGCAUCUUUUCAUAGUCCCCUGUUUUGAGUGUUUGAAGUAGAUGCAACGCAAUUGUCCCGCGUGGAGUUCUCGCUUUUGUCACGCCGUUUUCUCAUCAUUAAAGAUAUAAAUAUGCCUUUGGUGCUUAAUUUUUAGCUCUUGGAUUUCGAGUGGUUUGAUACAACACGUUUCCUCAGGCUUGUGUUGUUGCGUACGAAGAUGUUUGCUGCUCAUUUGCCAGCUAUGGUCAUAUCAUUCCCGAGGACGUUUGUUUAAAUUUUUUUUGCUUGAUGAUGUUCUUUUCCAGAUUGCUCCGCGGUUUGCUCCCUGUGGCAUCAUUGCAGUGAAAUUAUGGCACCUGUUGCAACUGGUUGUAUUUUCAUCUUCAUCGUCUCCAGACACCUGUUCAAUGCUGUGUCUCGUCUCUUGUAUCACAUCCUGAACCAUUAUUAUUUGAUUUGAACCAAAUUUUAGCUUAAAUCUUCUAUGUGCAGGCGUUAGCAUUCUCUUGGAUGGAAAGGGCCUGAUUCCCAAACUUGAAGUACUUUUCUUUUAUUGUGUCCAGCUGCCUGGUGUGUUCUACCACGUUAUACUCUUUUGAGCGGUUCGCAAUCUUCAAUGAGGAUUUUGGUAAUUAGUCUCAGGGAGGGGCUGUUGAUGCACCGUUUUUGCCAUUUAGAAAACUCGAUCCGGAGAACUGUGUCUUUUCAACCAAUUUUGAUGAUGGAGGAAGACAUAUGACUUGGAAGACUGCGCGUGUGCUUUGCAUCGGCUCUUUGCACUUCGAGCUUUUAACAUUCAGACAGCGCAGAAUUUUACAAGUGACACUGGAGCAACAAUCCAGAGGAUCGUGUACGUCUGAUCAUGAUGCAAAUCGUGGAGGUGUAGAUGCAAUUGAAGUUCUUUGAUCAGUGAUUAUAAUUUAUUACGGAUAAGGUUCACUGUAUGGACGGCGCGCCUUUUAUGUGGGUUCUUAACUUCCAUGUUGAUAUCUCCUGCUUUGAAUAAUCUCACAUAGCUUUGACAUCAUCCAAUGUUAUCAAAGCCAUGUGGGAUUAUUCAAAAUAGUGCCCUCUGUCCUUCAAGACCUUCAACACAGUUGCUGUAUUACUUAGUAACACUUGGCUAGGGGCUCGUCUCGAGAUUCAGCCACGACAGCAGGAUUCGGGCUUCUGCUACGUGCCUCUCCUUAUCAUGUAAAGAAUGUCUAAGAAAGAACUGUAUCAAGGAGUAGAAUGUGUAAGCUUUAGCACAUGCAAUCCAGGAGAUGAUAGUUUUAUGGUAUGUACUCUUGGUGCGAUCGUCAAUAUUUUCUCUCGCAAUUUUCGUGUCGAUGACCGGUUUAUCGCAUCGUGGGGCUAUAGAAAUCUUGAUCAAAAUUGUGCAGUCGUGAAGCAAUAAGUUCAAUCGAACAAGUUUCUUUUGGUUGGUAUCGACUGUUGCAGUAGUCACAACGGUGAUUGUAAUGAGACGCGGUUCUAAAUUAAGUCCGCCCACCCACUUGCCCUGUCCUUAUUUACGUGUCGAAACAUCCUUCUAUGUAUGGUGUAGGGGGAGUUGAUGGGUCUCCUUCUUGACCCAUUCAUAAGGAUAAACUAUAAUGUGUAGAAUGCUUCGUAAUACUAUCAGCAAGUGCGAACCUGUAUUUCUUGCAAACUUGUCAUAUCACUCUGGUGUAGGUACUCCAACACGUUCGGCACGUUAGUAGCCUCAUUUUUCAAGUGGGCCGAUAUUGGGUGUGUUUGUCGAUCUAUUUCCCACCUCCACACUGAUUUGGAUAAUUGAAUCAGGGUUCCGGCUGUUCACAGCUCUGAAUGCCGAAAACUUGAAACGCA